AGGACUGUUCUUCUAAAAGAUUUCAUGGAAUACUGGAUGAAUGGCAUUCAGGAGGUUAUCUGUCUUUUGAAAUUGGGCCAGGUACAAAUACUGCCCAAGAUGCCUGACGCUGCAGGGAGGAAGGAGAGAUGCGGAAAAUCUGUUUAUUUGGCACCUUCACCCUGUGGCAAUAUUGGAGUCUCAGAGGCUGAGCUGCUUGUUCUGCAAUUUAAAAAGGGCGGGAGACUUUGUACAACUUUUCCCGAGUGAAUACAACAAUUCUAAGCAGCUGAUAACUGCCAGAUAAACAACCUGAUCUUUUGAUUUGUUCUGUUUUAUUUGCUUGUUUGUUAUUUUCUCUUAAAACUGGAAACAGCUGGUGACCAAGGAAGGGUCUCAGGCUUCCAACUGCAAAACUGUGCUGGACACACGGACUCGGGUCUUGGGUCUGGCCUGAAUUCCAGGGCAGCGGGGAGGUGUCUGCAUGGAAGGACUUGCUCCACCGUCUCCUUCCGUGCUGUGAAAGGUCCUGCCAAGACAGGAACCUGCCCCACGAGCAGCAGAUACGCAUCCUUCCUUCCUGCUCCCCUCUUCACCCGACCAGUCUAACCGCCACCACAGAAGGUUGAUCGCAAGUUGGAUCCUUAUGUGCACAACUCGACUGCAUCCAGUUUUACAAAGACAUGAAGACACGUCUUAAGUUUGGAGCGGGGAAGAAAUAUUCUAGAGCCUGGCAAUCUGCUUCAGACUGUGCUCCUGAAUUAGUCAUGGAGAUGCAGAAAAUGCAGUGCUCCCUUACUGGCACAGCGGUCCCCUCGCUUUCUGCCAGUGUUUACCUCGGCAGCUGGGCUGCUUAAGUCUCCAGGAGUCCCUAGGUCCUUGGACUACAGCAAGGCGGCUGGGAGGGAGGCUGCUUUCUCACCUGGUAUGAUUUUCCUCUGCCGAUAAUUGAGAUGGACUCUGAUGCGGAGGAAAGUGUAAAAAACGGUUGUGGAUGCUUCCUCUGUUUUCAGCUUUCAUUUGUGUCUGCAUUAAUCAACUGCCCGAGGCUUUAGUCACCACUUGCGGGAGUCUCGCAAAAUACGUGGGAUUUAGAAAUCAAACAACAAGAUAAUCACCCAGAAAUCAGAUUUAAAUCUGCAGUGACUGAAGUUGCUUUGUCAGAGAAAUAAAAGUGCUUUGCCUCGUUCCUGAGCCCCCGAUGAAGCCAAGAUUCCACGAUGGACAAAACUUUCAAGGACAGAGUAAAUGGAGACAGCAGAAGGGAGUGAGCAGAGCACCGCGGAGAAAGUGGUACCUACAGCCUCGAUUCUACAUGGCUUCUCAAACCCCACGGUCAGCAGGAACGCGGUAGAUCUCUGUCUCUCCAUUUCUUACUCUCAAGCCUGGCUUGUCUCAGGUGUCUGAGCCUCAUGCAGUCGGCUGUUAGCAGGAGUGGGGCGCUGACAGGGUCCCACGCUCUAAUGCUUACUUGGCUGGGGUCGAGGAGCACGGAUUCUCAGGGAAAGGCCAUGAGGAGGGCUGGCCCCUUGACUAGAAUGUCCGUCCACCUCGGGCCAAUUAUUUAGUGACACCAAAAGCCAUAGGGACUUUCUGUUUCUGGAGAUGUGGCGUAUCAAUGUUACAGAGAAACCGCUCCUAACCCAGGGCACAUCAAACUGCAGGGUAAAUUAUAACACAACAACAACAUCUUUUUAGUUCAUGGCUGAACAGGCAGUAAAGUCAGGGAAACCACUGAGGCCUGAAAUAAAGAAACAUCUCCUCUAUGAAUGGAGGGGGAAAGGGAGAUGAAUCUAGGGAUGGAGAGAGAGCAUUGGCAUUGAUGAUAUUUUAUUAUAUAUACUUGGUGGUGAGUUUAAGAGCAUUCAUUUUAUUAUUAUUAUUUAAACUGAGUUAAAUAUGUAUGU